rnacentral:rRNA from 1 species
CUACUCUUGACAUCCAGAGAAUUCGCUAGAGAUAAAUUAGUGCCUUCGGGAACUCUGAGACAGGUGCUGCAUGGCUGUCGUCAGCUCGUGUUGUGAAAUGUUGGGUUAAGUCCCGCAACGAGCGCAACCCUUAUCCUUGUUUGCCAGCACGUAAUGGUGGGAACUCCAGGGAGACUGCCGGUGAUAAACCGGAGGAAGGUGGGGACGACGUCAAGUCAUCAUGGCCCUUACGAGUAGGGCUACACACGUGCUACAAUGGCGUAUACAGAGGGCUGCAACCUAGCGAUGGUGAGCGAAUCCCACAAAGUACGUCGUAUUCCGGAUUGGAGUCUGCAACUCGACUCCAUGAAGUCGGAAUCGCUAGUAAUCGUGAAUCAGAAUGCCACGGUGAAUACGUUCCC